rnacentral:rRNA from 1 species
UCUUUUGAGAGUUUGAUCCUGGCUCAGAACGAACGCUGGCGGCGCGCCUAACACAUGCAAGUCGAACGAGAAUCCGGGGCAACUCGGUAGUAAAGUGGCAAACGAGUGAGGAAUACAUGGGUA